rnacentral:tRNA from 1 species
GCCUUCGUGGUGUAGUGGUCAGCACACUAGGAGUGCAUUCCAGAGGACCCUGGUUCGAAUCCCGGGGAUGGCA